AGGGGGAGAGGUUUGGGCUGGGAUCCCUGAGUACUACGCCUUGGUUCAGGCGUAGGAAACUGGGAGAAAGCAACUUCCAAGGCUAAAUACGUCCCAAGACCGAUAGCGCACUAGUACCGUGAGGGAAAGCUGAAAAGCACCCCGGAAGGGGGGUGAAAAGAGCCUGAAAUCAGGCGGUUACAGACGUGCGCGGUCCGGAAGGGUGGAUCCCCUCGAAAGGAAACCGCGGCGACGCGGCGGUACGAGGAGGGGGGACCAGGAUCGCGCGCUCCGUUUUGUACCACGGGCCGGGGAGUUCACCUCCGUGGCGAGGCUAAGGGCCUGCAAGCCCGGAGCCGCAGGGAAACCGACUGUCCGCAGCGUUGAGCGUGAUGAAACGCGAGGGACGGGGUCUGAAAGGGCCCGGAGUCACGGGGGUGAGACUAGAAACCGAGCGAUCUAGCCCGGGGCAGGGUGAAGCCGGGUGAAAACCCGGUGGAGGCCCGUAGGGGUGCUGACGUGCAGUUCGCUCCUCUGACCCUGGGCUAGGGGCAAAAGACCAAUCUAGCUCGGUGAUAGCUAGUUCCCGCCGAAAUAUCUCGCAGGAUAGCCCGGCUGGAGGUGGCCGAUGGGGUAGAGCACCGAUUGGAAAGCAAGGGGUCGAGAGGCUCCACCUCCCAGUCGAACUCCGAAUCCAUCGGCGCCUUAGAAGGCCGGAGACGGGCGUGGGGGGUAAGCUCCCACGUCGCGAGGGGAACAACCCAGACCGGGGUUAAGGCCCCAAAAUCCCGGCUAAGUGCAGAAAUUGAAGGUUGUCCCCAACCAUAGACAGCUGGGAGGUAGGCUUAGAAGCAGCCAUCCUCUAAGCAGUGCGUAACAGCUGACCAGCCGAGGUUGGGGGCGCCGAAAAUGGACGGGGCUAAGCCGGGUGCCGAUACCCCGGGUCACAGCCUCGUAGGCUGUGGCGGUAGGCGGGCGUUGCGGCUGGGCGGAAGCUGGGCCGUAAGGUCCAGUGGACCGGCCGGGAGUGCAGAUCCCGGUGGUAGUAACAGCAAAGAGGGGUGAGAAUCCCCUCCGCCGAAGGGGCCAGGGUUCCCCGGCAACGGUCGUCAGCCGGGGGUAAGUCGGUCCUAAGGCGGCCCUUAACCGGCGCCGCCGAAAGGGAAACCGGUUAAUAUUCCGGUACCGCGGAGGUACGCUUCGCGGCAACGCAAGGUCCGCGGCCCGACGCUUCAGGAUAGGCUGAGUGGAGCCGUCGCUCCAUCUAACCGUUGAAGCCCGGGGAGAGCCGUAAAGGCGAGAACCGGGCGAAGGCGGGAAUGGCCUCCCGUCUAUAGGGGGGUUCAGCCGAUUCCCGGAGCCACUGAAAAGGGCUGCGGAAAGGAUCCUCCGCGCCCGUACCCAGAACCGACACAGGUGCCCCUAGGUGAGAAGCCUCAGGCGUGUCGGGGAGAACCCGGGCGAGGGAACUCGGCAAAUUAGCCCCGUAACUUCGGGAGAAGGGGUGCCUGAAGCCUUAGCCUCAGGCUGGGGCCUCAGGUCGCAGUGACAAGGGGGGCGCGACUGUUUAAUAAACAGGCGAGAACGCGCCGGCCAAAUAUCGGAGGGACAGCCUUAUUUAUACCGCCUAGCUUCAUAUGAUUGUGAGGUUUUAUGGACCCAUACCUAGCGGGAUUCCUCUACGGCGACGGCACCUCCUACGUUAGCUCCCUAAACUGGUAAAGCUGCACGGCAAAGCAUAUUUCUAUAGUUACAAGCUUCAAACGGGACGAAGAAGAUGGAGAGCUUUAGUUUACAGCAAAAGGAUCUACAUCGAAUUCAGGAAGUUAAGGGAGAGCGUCACGGAAUAUGCCGCCAGGUUAUCCGACAAGGACUUCUUCAAGUUCCUUGGAGGUUUAUCCGAUGCUGAAGGAACGUUAACCGAUAGGAUCGUCAUAUACAAUAGAAACCUCGAAUUGCUUCAAAUAUCGGCCAAGAGGUUGAGAUCCGCAGGGUUUAAACCGCGGGUCUAUAAAUUUGGUUCCGUAUUCGGCCUCCAAAUUCACGUUAAGCACGACAUAAGUAGGUUUAUUGAGGUUGUCCCCUGCUAUAGGCUAAGGGCGCGGUCCGUCUGGUUAAAAAACAUAGGAGGCCGCUAGCCCGAAAGGGUGUGUACGGCCUUUGAGUCCUGGCCAGUGGCGGUACCUUAAACCCGGGUACAACUGGGCGAAGGGCCGCUAAACGCCGGGAGUAACUCUGACUCUCGAGCGAAGGGAGUCGUUAAACUCGGCUAUAUGCGGGGAAAGGAGAGUAGCCGAUUCCCCGAGGAGGGAAAAGCGAUCGGCUCCAUGAUCCUGACCCGCAGGGAACCAUCCGCCUGCAAAACCUUAACUCUAUAAACUGCUACUCCAUAAUUGCCGAAGGGGUUCUCAACGAUGCUCGAUGAAUUCAAAGCUAUAAUAGAUCCGAAGAAGCUGCCUAACCGGAGGAAAUAUCUUCACUACUAUAUCGUUGGUUUAGUGGAUGGCGGAGGCUGCUUCUCCCUCUCCAUUAAGAAACAGGAUAACACCAGAUUUGGAUGGGUGAUCGAUCCGGUAUUUCAUGUAACUCAGAGCAGGAGGCACCGCCAAAUCCUUGAGAUACUUAGAGAGGUAUUCAAGUGUGGUCGGAUAAUUCCUAAACCCGGGCAGGAAGAGGCUGUGCUCCAAUACGUUGUAGAUGCGAGGAAGCAUCUCGCAGAGAGGAUAGUACCGUUCUUUAAGAGAUAUAAACCGAUAAUUAAAUGGGAGGACUUUGAAACCUUCGCUGAAGUAGUGGAAGCGUUAGAGAAAGGUGAGCAUAAAACCCCGCAUGGCCUUAAAAAGCUGAUAACGCAGGCAUAUAAGAUAUCCGGGGAAAGGAAGCGCAAGCUCGAGGAAUUGUUACUCGAGAUAGAUAGGCGGAUGGGCGCCUCAGAGACCAUACGCCGAGAACCGUAGGGCGAAACUGGAUAUGAGCUCGAAGGUGAAGAUAUGGUCCAACCCUUUUUAAAGGGUUGCUUAAGGUAGCCAAAUGCCUUGUCGGGUAAGUUCCGACGUGCAUGAAUGGAUUAACGACGUCCCCGCUGUCCCCGCCCGGGGCCCGGUGAACCCACAUAACUUGGACGAACAGUCCAGGAUCUCCCAGCGGGGCGAGAAGUCCCCGUGGAGCUUUACUGCAGCCUGUCGCUGGGACACGGCUGCGGGUACAGAGCGUAGGUGGGAGCCGUCGAGGCGGAUCCCUCCGGGGAUCCGUGGAGGCGCCGAUGUAACACCACCUACUCGCGGCUGUAUCCCUAACCAGGCUUAGGCCUGAGACACCGGCAGGUGGGCAGUUUGGCUGGGGCGGCACCCCCUUGAAAAGGUAUCAAGGGGGCCCAAAGCUCAGCUCAUCCGGGACAGAAACCCGGAGUAGAGGGCAAGGCCAAAAGCUGGGCUGACUGGAUCCUCCAAGGCAAGGGAUCCAGAGGCGAAAGCCGGGCCUAGCGAUCACUCAUGUCCCCAUUGCUGGGGGCUGGGUGUGACAGAAAAGUUACCCCGGGAGUAAUUAGCUCGUCUCCCCCGAGAGUCCCCAUCGACGGGGAGGAUUGGUAUUCCGUCGUCGUCCGUUCCCAUCCUGGGUCCGCAGCAGGGCCCAAGGGUGCGGCUGUUCGCCGAUUAAAGGGGAAUCCGAGAUGGGUUUAGUCCGUCGUGAGACAGGACGGAUUCUACCUGCUGGGAGUGCUGGCCGCCUGAGGGGAAGGUGCCCCCAGUACGAGAGGAACGGGGCAUCGCGGCCUCUAGUCUACCGGUUGUCCGACAGGGCACCGCCGGGCAGCCACGCCGUCGGGGAUAAGGGCUGAAAGCAUCUAAGCCCGAAGCCCCUCCCGAAAAUAGGCGG
rnacentral:rRNA from 1 species